GGAAAGGUCAUAAAGUAAGAAAAAAAUAGAACUCUGGAGAAUUCAGUAUUUCCAUGACAGCAAAGGAAGAGAAGCCACUAAAGUGAUAUGAGGAAUGACAGAGAAAGGACAAGAAAAUGUGGAGAGUGGGCUCAUGGAAUUCAGGGGAGCUCCAGUGAUCACAGCUGGUCCACUGAGAUAAUCGAGGUUAAUCCCUCUACGUUAAAUUCAGCUGAUUGCAGCUCUCAAAGUACUGUACCUGGACCAACAGCAUCAACAUCACCAGAGAACUUAUGAGAAAAAUAAAUCCUAAGAUCCUACCCCACACCUACUUAAUCAAAAACUCAUGGAGUGGGAACCAGAAAUCUGUGUUUCACAAGCCCUCCAGGUGAUCAAGAUACAGCUCCAGUUUGAGAACCACUCUAACAGUCAAAGACCAGAUCUUGCCUGAGACUGAGAAGGAAGGGGCACCGUAGAACUUGUAAAGAGAAUGUAAAGGUUGGAAAGAGCUGUGGCAAGAAAAAGAGAGAAGACUGAGAACAUAUGGAGACCACUAUCCUGCCAAACUCCUGGUACCAAAUUCCAGUCCUGGGUGUAAAGACAGAGUGGGAGAUCCAAUAGGCU